rnacentral:piRNA from 1 species
UACUUAGGUGUUGGGGAUCCAAACUCAG